CACGGACCGCACGAACGUUAUUCGGUAUCACUGGGCUUAAAGGGUGCGUAGGCGGCUUGGCAAGUUGGGUGUGAAAGCCCUCGGCUCAACCGAGGAAUUGCGCUCAAUACUGCCGAGCUCGAGAGAGACAGAGGUAAGCGGAACUGAUGGUGGAGCGGUGAAAUGCGUUGAUAUCAUCAGGAACACCGGUGGCGAAGGCGGCUUACUGGGUCUUUUCUGACGCUGAGGCACGAAAGCCAGGGGAGCGAAC
rnacentral:rRNA from 1 species